rnacentral:tRNA from 1 species
CGGGGUGUAGCUCAGUCUGGUCCAGAGCACUUGCUUGGGGUGCAAGUGGUCGCUGGUUCGAAUCCAGUCACCCCGA